AACGAACGCUGGCGGCAGGCCUAACACAUGCAAGUCGAGCGCGCCCUUCGGGGUGAGCGGCGGACGGGUUAGUAACGCGUGGGAAUAUACCCAGUUCUACGGAAUAGCCUCGGGAAACUGAGAGUAAUACCGUAUACGCCCUUCGGGGGAAAGAUUUAUCGGAAUUGGAUUAGCCCGCGUUAGAUUAGGUAGUUGGUGGGGUAAUGGCCUACCAAGCCUACGAUCUAUAGCUGGUUUGAGAGGAUGAUCAGCAACACUGGGACUGAGACACGGCCCAGACUCCUACGGGAGGCAGCAGUGAGGAAUAUUGGACAAUAGGCGAAAGCCUGAUCCAGCGACGUCACGUGAAUGAUGAAGGCCUUAGGGUUGUAAAAUUCUUUUAGUGGAGAAGAUAAUGACGGUAUCCACAGAAAAAGUCCCGGCUAACUUCGUGCCAGCAGCCGCGGUAACAC
rnacentral:rRNA from 1 species